UAAAUACUCCCUCCGUCCCAAAAUUCUUGUCUUAAAUUUGUCUAAAUACGGAUAUAUCAAGUCACCUUUUAGUAUUAGAUACAUCCGUAUCUAGACGAAUCUAAGACAAGAAUUUUGAAACGGAGGGAGUAUAAG
rfam:Triticum aestivum genome assembly, contig: Triticum_aestivum_CS42_TGACv1_scaffold_603999_7DL